UUCACCUUCUGGUAAAGUAAACCCGACAGAUAUUAACUAUGAGUGGUUCAAGGCUUAAAAAUGCCACCAACUCAAACACAGUGAAUUUUUCGCAAACACUCUCGAUAAGUUUGUCUAGUCUAGUAAAGAUUAGAAUAAGUAUAGUUUUUAAAGUCUAUCGAGUCUGCAUUUAGUCUGCAUAUGUUUUAGAAGAGUCAUUUCUUUUCAUGUGGGG
rnacentral:lncRNA from 1 species